rnacentral:rRNA from 1 species
UACGUAGGGUGCGAGCGUUGUCCGGAAUUAUUGGGCGUAAAGAGCUUGUAGGCGGUUUGUCGCGUCUGCCGUGAAAGCCCGGGGCUUAACUCCGGGUUUGCGGUGGGUACGGGCAGGCUAGAGUGUGGUAGGGGAGACUGGAAUUCCUGGUGUAGCGGUGAAAUGCGCAGAUAUCAGGAGGAACACCGAUGGCGAAGGCAGGUCUCUGGGCCACUACUGACGCUGAGAAGCGAAAGCGUGGGGAGCGAACAGG